AUCACAGCUGACGAGUCUCAAAUACGAUGAAACGCGCGUCAUGGAU
rfam:Schistosoma mansoni strain Puerto Rico chromosome 4, complete genome